rnacentral:lncRNA from 1 species
GACUACUCGGGUGUGUUCUUUCCUCUCUCUUCUCUCUCUUAUUUUAUGUUUGUUUCUUUCAUUGAGGACAAUGCAUAUUUUAAGUCUGGGGGAGGGAAUACUUUAUUUUCUUUGUUUUUGUUCUUUGUUUUGUUUUGUUUUUGUUUUCUUUCUAAAAAAAAUUGCAUUUUUGUUGAAAGUUUUAGGCUAUAGGUUACUUUGAGUCGAGUUUGCGGAGACUUGGGAAAAUUCACAAGAUCGGUAUUGUUUUAACACCGUAAAUCUCCUGCAUAUGGAAAUUGAGUUGAAUUUUUAUUAUGUUUUAGCCUUACAUUCUCA